UACGGAGGGGGCUAGCGUUGUUCGGAAUUACUGGGCGUAAAGCGCGCGUAGGCGGCUUUGUAAGUUAGAGGUGAAAGCCCGGAGCUCAACUCCGGAACUGCCUUUAAGACUGCAUCGCUAGAACGUUGGAGAGGUGAGUGGAAUUCCGAGUGUAGAGGUGAAAUGCGUAGAGAUCUGGAGGAACACCCGUGGCGAAGGCGGCUCCCUGGUCCGAUUCUGACGCUGAGACGCGAAAGCGCGGGGAGCGAACGGG
rnacentral:rRNA from 1 species